UACGUAGGGUGCAAGCGUUGUCCGGAAUUAUUGGGCGUAAAGAGCUCGUAGGCGGUCUGUCGCGUCUGCUGUGAAAUCUCAGGGCUUAACCCUGAGCUUGCAGUGGGUACGGGCAGACUUGAGUUCGGUAGGGGAGUGGGGAAUUCCUAGUGUAGCGGUGAAAUGCGCAGAUAUUAGGAGGAACACCGGUGGCGAAGGCGCCACUCUGGGCCGAAACUGACGCUGAGGAGCGAAAGCAUGGGUAGCAAACAGG
rnacentral:rRNA from 1 species